UGUCGAAGGUUGUAUCUCCGGAAAAUCUGGCAAUUACGUAGGAUAUAGGGGUUAAAUAAGUUAAUCUGAAAGCGGAAUGCGCUGUUUUUCCUGAUAACAUGUAAGCCUUUUGUGCGACCUAAAGAGCGCCAUUGUUUAUUUCAAUCUCUGUCGUCCCCGGUUUGUUUCAGUAGUUUGACACGUUCAGUCGGCUUUUCCAAAACCGCAGGAAUCGCAGUGGAUUUCGUCGCCCAUACAUGCUUAUUAGAGUAGCUUCAGUAUUAACGUGUAGUGUGCCUCUCUCUCACUUCACUUUUCCCAGGCUGUAAAGGAUGAUUCCGAGCCUAAGAAGUGUCCGACACUUUUCUACAACAGCGAUUAUGAAGCAAGUUGUUUCAGAACUACAUGUGUCGGUGCCAUGGGGAGAAAUCAGGGGCCAAGUCUGGGGUCCUGAACAUGGCCGUCCAGUACUGUGCCUGCAUGGCUGGGCAGACAAUGCUGGGUCCUUCAACACCCUAAUUCCACUUCUACCAAGAGACUGGAGGUGCGUGGCUGUGGAUUUGGUCGGGCAUGGACUGUCUAGCCACAGGCCGGCGGGCGUCCUCUACACCUUCCCCGCGUACGUGUACGACGUGCGGCAGGUCGUCGAAGCUCUGCAGUGGAAACGCUUCUCCAUAAUUGGACACAGCAUGGGAGGCAACAUUGCUGGUUUGUUCAGCGCGUUAUAUCCUGAGAUGGUGGAAUCUGUCGUGUUCCUGGACUCGUUUGGCUUCCUCCCUGCUGAGCUGAAAGAGAUGGCAGGACUUGCAAGAAAAGGGAUCGAGGAGAUGAUUGAGUUUGAAAAAAAGAAAGAUGAGAAGAGAGAACGGCUUUACACUUAUGAGAAAGCAGUAGAAAGGUUGAUGGCAGCCAAUCCGUCUUUGUCUGAGAAAUCUGUUCACAUCCUUUUGGAGAGAGGCAGCACGCAAGUUGACGGAGGUGUGGUUUUCAACAGAGAUUUUAGAAUCAACCUGACGAACGUUGUUCGCUGCAGCCUAGAGCAGAGCCUGGAGCUUCAGUCCAGAAUACAGGCUAAAAUUCUUGUUGUCCUGGCAGAGGAUGGACUUAUCAAGAUACCGUCUAAGCCGGAGCAGAAGAGAUACUUCUCUACCCUGCUGGAUGGCUUUAAAGGCCUCGGGGGCCGCCAGUUGACGGUGCCAGGGAACCAUCAUGUUCAUCUGAAUAAACCCGAAACUGUGGCCUCCAUCCUCACCGAUUUCCUGGAGGGCAGAGCCUCAGACUUGGCUGCCAAACUGUAAGAGUCAGUGUGGUAGAAAAAUUAUAAAUCAACCUCUGAUAACACAGAGAGGCUCUUAGAAUAAAAGUCUGGACCUCUUAGUUUGGUGAGUAAAGAAAAUCUCUUUUACGCCAGCGAGUUCAGCAAAGCGCUCCCAUCACACUCUGGCACUCGGUACCAAGUCACACCCGGCACACAGAGCAACCAGUAGAUAAACCAUAACUCCCAGGACUUCUAAGUCCUGUUACUUAUCCCAGUAUAUCUCAGAUCCAACAAAUGAAUCCCCAGACACUUUUGUGCUGUAUUAGUCCUCAGGGCUAUUGUCUAUUCCAUUUAAUGUUAGCACCCGCAUGCGACAGUGUGGAGCAAAAUCAACUCAAGGCAUCGUUUUGUCCCACUGGGGAUACUGCACCCGGCAGACCCCACACCCUUUACCACAUACACAUUCUCCAAGACCCACACACCCUAUCAACAUACACCUUUAUACUCCCGUGGGACCGAGAGUGGGCCAAACCCCGAACAGUGACUCAGCCCAGUGCCAGGGGUCUACAACAGCGCCUGUCUCUUCUUGCCUACGGCCUAAAACAUAACAGACCCAAUAUGCCUCCCCUCCCGGGCCUACUAAUGUCCAAUUUUACUUCCGCAUCAGGACCUCAGUCACUGGCACAGACAUCGUUCUGCUUCAGUUGCAUUAACACACUGGUUCAUCACUGGGGAACUUCCCCACCAACCCUCACCUAACUUCAAGGAAUGGAUCCACAAAACCAUGUCAGAAUUAACAGCAAACAUAAUCUGGAACUCUGGGAUCGUCGUCGUGUUUUUAUAAAGGCACGUUAAUUUUGAAGGGGCUUUUCUAAAAUUAUUGUCUAGCUGGGGUGGGGGUGAGCGAAACUGCGCACACUUAGCGAAUCACUGUAUUGCUGCUGCUACUGCAGACUGUAAAAGUUUAACAUUAACUGACACUUUUCAGGUAUUGGUGCAUUUAUGUGGUAUCAAUUUUGGGAGUUGUGAAAAUUACUAUUGUGAAAUAGUGAAAAUGUUUGACUAACAUUUUGAGUCAAAGCAAAGAUGAAAUCUGUUUUAAGGUAUUGUAUUAAUAUAUGAAGACAGUAUUUAUCGAUCAUGUGUGGCAUUGUGCCUCUCCGUUACUCCUCUCAUUGUGUCUGACUGCCGAUGUUGUGGCAAAGAAAAUAAAAUUCCACCAAACUCACAAAGGUUUUCGGGUGACUCUCUGCUCCCUUCCAUCAAGAUCCUGAGCUGGUUGAUUUGGUUCUGGUGACCAUGGAUUUGAUACGCGAGAGCACAGGUUUUCCUUGUGCCUUCUACCAGCAUCCCCCCCCCCCCCCCAAAAUGAACUGAACAUCUGCAGUGGGCAGGGUAGGUGUGAGCUCUCCCACCUCAGCUUGGCACAGAAGUACCUCCCCCCAAUGUGAUCUGGGAUUACUCGCGUGUCCGUUACUCCCCCCUUUUAGAGCUGGACUCCCAGUCUGGACAAUUUGCCCUCGUUCCACUUUGCUUACUGAAGCGAUGAACUCCUUCAUCCACUCAAAUUAUCAAUUGAACUGGAAGCGAGUCACACUGGGCACGCAGCCUUAUUUUUUGCGAGAGCUUUGACAGAAGUGGUUAUAUAAAUUUUUCUCUCCCCUCUGGGCUCAACAUCACCAGGCCGGUCUCCAUGGCAACAUCUCACCCACCCCUCCCCACUCCUCCUCCCCCUCCCCUUACUUCCAAAUGUGAUGUCAUAAGGCAGAGCAAGCCAAAACGGCUGCAGACUGUCACACGUCAGGGAGAUCUCCCUUUGAGUUGUAGUUCUGUAAUCUUAUGUUGAGGAAUCGACGCUGCACUUUGAGUCGCUCGCCUCCGAUACCUUUCGGUUACGAUAAGAGCGAGGAGGCAAGGCAGCUGAGAUCCCCGGACUGCUCCGCAAAUCUAGAGCAGCUCUACUCCAUUCCAGCAGCUACUCCCCGGAAACAUGCCUUGGCUGUUCCUUGACUGGUUUGUUCCCCUCUACCUGCUUGUGUCAGUCCUAGUUCUGGCGGGGUUUGGAGCUUGCCUGUACUUCCUCGAACCAGGACUGCAGGAUGCACACAAGUGGAAUGCCCAGGCACCACACCGACGUCCCCUGGUGGCCAAUGAUGAAAACUACAGCAAAGAUGAUGAUAAUGUUCUGAUAUAAUAGUAAAGAAAAAUGGCUAAAUUUCACACACUGUAUCACAACAAAUAUACUAGAUGUUUAAUAAACAUUUAAGGAAGAAUUUGUGUAUAUAUAUAUUUAUAUAUAUAUAUAAAUCCCGUAGUGGUAUAUUUCCUCUAGUUUUCCUACAGAUUCAUAAAACACCCACUAAGGUAGAAGGGGGAUUAAAACCAUCAUCCCAGAAUACAUAUCGAUUUGACAAAAGAGAAAUGAUAGAUAAUAUUAAAAAUAAGAGCACUUGUGCCAGUCAUAUUAUGCAAAAGUGAAAUUUGUGAUAAAUAUGUGUUUAUAUAUUUUUGAAUAGACUAGAAAAGCUCGUUUGUUAUCUCGCAACUGUGUAGGGUUAGCAAUGCUGACAGCAAAGCCAGAUGGUACACAGCUUGCCGUCUCUGUAACACAGCUUUCUAGAUGAGUAAUGCAACACACAGCCAUGUACAUUGGAAGUUAAUGCUGUGUUCUUGACUUUUAACUUUGUAUUAAAAGAUAUUGCAAGAUUUAUGUAUUUCAAAGUGAAAAAGUGUUCUGGAUCACAAUGUUGUACUAAAGUUGAAGACACAAUGCAGAUAUACAAAUAAAAUCCAAAUUAUUUUA